GUUCACAUAGAUGUAGAGUUACCGAUUUGGUUUACAGAGUCAGUAUGAGUCUCUAGAUGUUUGAUGUCAAAAAAAAUACCGUUAAAGUACAAAAUUUAUGUGUAUAAUCACUAUGACACAAUUGUAUAGUUACGCAGUAUCACUAAUUCAAUACAAUUAUCAAAAUUCUAGUAAUAAUUAAUAAAAUAUUUUACACAAAUAUGAUUACAAAAAAAAUACAAAUAUACUUAAAUAGAAAAACACAUAUAUGGUUACAAAGAAAGACACGGAUGAAAAAUCAAAUUUCUAAAAAAAAAUAUGUAAAACAAAAAUAUACUUGCCCUCUGAGGACGGGUCAAAAUCUAAUUUUUUAGAUAAAAAGAGAGAACACAAUUGGAUGAAGC
rnacentral:lncRNA from 1 species